rnacentral:rRNA from 1 species
CAGUCGCCGCGGUAAUACGUAGGGUGCGAGCGUUAAUCGGAAUUACUGGGCGUAAAGCGUGCGCAGGCGGUUAUAUAAGACAGAUGUGAAAUCCCCGGGCUCAACCUGGGACCUGCAUUUGUGACUGUAUAGCUAGAGUACGGUAGAGGGGGAUGGAAUUCCGCGUGUAGCAGUGAAAUGCGUAGAUAUGCGGAGGAACACCGAUGGCGAUGGCAAUCCCCUGGACCUGUACUGACGCUCAUACACGAAAGCGUGGGGAGCAAACAGGAUUAGAUACCCCAGUAGUCCCUGUCUCUUAUAC